rnacentral:rRNA from 1 species
UACAGAGACCUCAAGCAUUAUCCGGAUUUACUGGGCGUAAAGCGUCCGCAGGUGGUUCGAUAAGUCAUUUGUCAAAUCCUGGUGCUCAACAUCAGGGCCGCGAGUGAUACUGUCGAACUUGAGGCUGGGAGAGGGAAGGGGAACUGCUGGUGUAGUAGUAAAAUGCGUUAAUAUCAGCAGGAACACCAAAGGCGAAGGCACCUUCCUGGAACAGUCCUGACACUCAGGGACGAAAGCGUGGGGAGCAAAACGG